rnacentral:rRNA from 1 species
AUGACGGUUACACUCGAGGAUUGGGGGAUGAUUACGGGCCUACCGCUCGAGGGUAAUGCUCUGACAGGACGAGUGGAGAGGAAGAACUGGCACGACAGGGUUGUCGCCCUCAUUGGCGACUGCCCCCCAGAUAAGAAGAACCGGACUUCCGGCGCCCCGCUGCCCUGGCUCCUGAAGUACCGGAGCAAGUGCCCGGAAGGGGCUGAACCUCGGGUGGUGGAGCAGUACGCCAGGGCCUACCUAUGGUAUCUUCUCACGGAGGUAGUGUUUCCUGACUGCUCUGGGGACAUUGCCCUCUGGAUGUAUCUCGACUUCCUGGCGGACUGGGAUGCGGGGUACAGCUGGGGGGCCGCCAGCCUCGCCUACCUAUACCGUUCGCUUGACGAUGCAACCCGGAGGACGGAAGCUACGUCCGGUAUGUGUGGAUGUGUGUGGGGCCUCUCCAUUUGGAUGUGGGAGCGAAUCCCGGUGGGUCGUCCGGAGAAGCUUAGAGCGCGUGCAUGGACUUACUAUGGCGAAGAUGGCGACGAUGCUCGAUACCCGACCGCCGCAUACGCUUGGGACGUGGUGGGUACAAUCUCGGGUGAAUCCAAGGCCUUGUACAAGAUCUUCAUCAACGAGCUUGAUGCUCUGACGCCUCUCCAGGUAUAA